AGUUCUUCAGCGGCAUCGCUUUACGUCCCCUUUAAGAAGCUAAAGCUGCCAGUUGAAGAACUGU
rnacentral:pre_miRNA from 1 species